UACGGGGGGGGCAAGCGUUGUUCGGAAUUACUGGGCGUAAAGGGUUCGUAGGUGGCCAACUAAGUCAGACGUGAAAUCCCUCAGCUUAACUGGGGAACUGCGUCUGAUACUGGUUGGCUUGAGUGCAGGAGAGGAACGCGGAAUUCCAGGUGUAGCGGUGAAAUGCGUAGAUAUCUGGAGGAACACCGGUGGCGAAGGCGGCAUCCUGGACCAACACUGACACUGAGGAGCGAAAGCCAGGGAGCAAACGGG
rnacentral:rRNA from 1 species